rnacentral:rRNA from 1 species
UAAGGAAUAUUGGUCAAUGGACGAAAGUCUGAACCAGCCAUGCCGCGUGGAGGAUGAAGGUCCUCUGGAUUGAAACUUCUUUUAUCUGGGACGAAAAAAGGUCUUUCUAGAUCGUCUGACGGUACCAGAUGAAUAAGCACCGGCUAACUCCGUGCCAGCAGCCGCGGUAAUACGGAGGGUGCAAGCGUUAUCCGGAUUCACUGGGUUUAAAGGGUGCGUAGGUGGGUUGGUAAGUCAGUGGUGAAAUCUUCGAGCUUAACUCGGAAACUGCCAUUGAUACUAUCAGUCUUGAAUAUUGUGGAGGUUAGCGGAAUAUGUCAUGUAGCGGUGAAAUGCUUAGAUAUGACAUAGAACACCAAUUGCGAAGGCAGCUGGCUACACAUAUAUUGACACUGAGGCACGAAAGCGUGGGGAUCAAAACAGGAUUAGAUACCCUGGUAGUCCACGCCUAAACUAUGGAUACUCGACAUACGCGAUACACUGUGUGUGUCUGAGCGAAAGCAUUAAGUAUCCCCACCUGGGAAGUACAUCGCAAGA